rnacentral:rRNA from 1 species
UCUCUCUGAAUCUGCGAACGGCUCCGCAAACCAGUUGUAAACUAUAGCAAGCAAGCCUUGUGCCUGCCUUCACGGGUGGGUGCUUGGCGAUAUGGAUAACCCUGGUAAUUCUGAGGCUAAUACAAGAACGUAAAACCUGGCUGACUGCUUUGGUGGAAGGCUGGGGGACGUGCGAGUGUCGCGAGAAUUUUCCGGGAAUGGACGCACGUUCAGACCGCGCUAAAAAGGAUCGGUUUCCCUUCACGGGGGGGCUGGCCCCAGCGGCUCUUGCUUUGUGCUUCUGACCUAUCAACUAGAUGGCAGCGUAACGGACAUGCUAUGGUGACAACGGGUACAGAGGAUUAGGGUUUGAUCCUGGAGAGUGGGCCUGAGAGAUU